AAAGUACACUUCUAAAUAUGAUUAUAUAGAUGAAAGUACAUAACUUAUAUAUUUAAAAGGAAUGAAAAAUAUGAAAAUUCAUAAACUUAGCUUUCGUUUGAUAUAUUUUAUAAACUGCUUUAAUAACUGAUGUGCGGAAAAUGAAGGAAGAAAUACGAAAGUAGAUUUGUUGGUAUGUCUUUCUGAUCGCAUCAACUGUGCGUUAAACUAGGUAAGACUCUCUUCAUGGUCCGCACUGAAGAUAUACACCCAUGCUUAACUGCAAAUUAUCAUAUUUUUAUUAUUCUCUGUCGAAUUUUUCUUAUCUGUUCGUUCAAUAAAUUUAUUUUUUUAAGAGGUUAGACCAUUUUCAAAAAAUCGAAAUUUUUUUUAUUGUUUUUAAUAGUUUUUUAGGACCUUAAUAAUGAUAUUCCAAAAGAUUAUAGCCGGAAAAUAUCUCUAAUGGUAAGUACUUGUUUUUCAAAGUAUAGUACAAGGCUGCCAGGGAAGCAGGGAGCCUCUUAUGACCGGAACGAGGAACGGUAUUUUAGAGGACCAGAGUAAGUAUACGACAAAUGGCUUUGAAGCUAGUUGCCAGGUGUUUAAAUUAUUGCUUGUUUCGUCUUUAGAAAGGUCGGUUUCAGUCAGUUUCCUACAGUAAAACAUUCGAGAAGGAUGCUCUUUGAGGAAUUUUUUUUUUUAUCGAUAAUUGUGCUAACUUUUGUUUUGUUUUGUGAGUGCUAUUGAUUCGUUUUUAUAAUGAGUGACAAAGUGUAUUGUAGUCAAAAAGGUGCAAAAGAGACACAUACAUAUAACAAGAGAUCGAAAAUAUCUGGAAGAAAUCUGAAGAAAGCUGUAUCGACACAAGUUAAAGGCACCAAGUGAAUUGAAUGCUAGUACAUCCACACAAAAAUUGAAGUAAUCGGAAGAUAUGUACGAUAUUGAAGUGAAUCCAGGUUUUAAUUAUCGUAUUAUAAACUUUAUUGGAGUUUUUUCAGUUAUUUUAAACGUUGUCGUUUGUAAAGUGUGCAAAUCGCAAGUGAAAUUUACGAAAAGUGGUAAGCGCGGUUUGGAAUUCAAAAUAGUAGUGUCCUGUGAAAAAUGUGUACAGACUGAGAUACCUAGUGGUCCAUUUAUUGAAAAAGGCUAUGAAAUAAACCGUAGAAUUGUAAUUUCCAUGCGAUUACUUGGAAUUGGUUUGCUUGAAAUAAAAAAGUUUUGUGCAUUCAUGGAAUUACCUCGGUCUAUGUUUCAUUCUUUCUAUGAUAAGGUUGUCAACAGAAUUUUAACUGUAAUUAAAAUGGUUUGCAAAAACAGUAUGAUGAAAGCAGCGAAAGAUGAGACAACUAUUUCUAUUGAAAAAGGAGAAAGUGGAAUUAUGGUAUCAAGCGAUAGUUCGUGGAGAAAAAGUGGGUUUACGUUUUUAUUUGGUUUAGUGACUCUUAUUGGCAAUUACAGUGCAAAAAUCAUAGACUGCGCAGUGAAAUCAAAAUACUGUAAGGUGUGUGGGUACUGGAAGAAUAAACAAGAUAUCGAAGAAUAUACAGAAUGGACACAAAAUCAUAAGGAUAAUGUGAAUCACGAUGGAUCAGCAGGAAAAAUGGAGGUGGAUACAAUUGUUGAGAUGAUUCUAAAACUUUUAAAGGCAUUAUUGAUGUGAAGCCCUAUGAAAAUGUCAUAUUACUUAAGAAAGAAUGUAUAGAUAACGUUCAAAAGUGAAUGGAUACCCGUCUACGUAAUUUGAAACAGAAAAUAGAAGGUCUCAGUGGAAGGGUAGCUGUUGGUACGGCCGUGGAUCCUUACGCAGAAAAAUCUACGGAAAAAAAGAUUGCCGUAACAAAUAAAACGAUCAGUAAUAACGAGAAAUCUAAAUCGCCGAAGAAGACCGAUGGUGCAAAAAUCCUGUCGAUCAAAAGAGAGCAAAGUAACAUCUCUUAAAUCUAAAGCUGGUGUUAAAACGACUACUGCAGCAGCCACUGUCGCUGCCGCUACUGCAACUACAGCUAAAAAGAAUGUAACGAGAAAACCGACUAAAGCGCAUGUUAAACCACCAGCCGUUAAAACUAAAACUCCAAAACUGAUAAAAGUUACUGCUAAAAAGUCACUAUUUCACAUAUAAAUUCACUAAUGUUUUUUUAAAUAGGAACAAUAUUAAUUUGCUAUUCAUAUUUUUCAAUUUUUCAUCAUUACUGUGAUUUAUACAAUUUGCUAAUAGAUUAACCCUUAACAUAACAUAAUGUUUUGCAUUUCAAUAUAAUCUAUCAUUGAUUGAAGUAAAUUUUUAUUCUUUUGUUUUAUUUUAUUUGAAAUAGAUACAGUAAAAUGAACGUUUUGCUUGAAAGAUAGUCUAACGAGAGCGUAGACCGAUGAUACUUUAAAUAAGACACUAUUUGAAAUACUGUUAGAAAUCAUUUCUACAAUAAAAAAUACUUUAUUUUCAAAA
rnacentral:misc_RNA from 1 species